CUCUAUUACAAUUCUGAAUAGUGAACCGUUUGGUCAGGUACUUCUGAUUGACUCUAUUACAAUUCUGAAUAGUGAACCGUUUGGUCAGGUACUUCUGAUUGACUCUAUUAGAAUUCUGAAUAGUGAACCGUUUGGUCAGGUACUUCUGAUUGACUCUAUUACAAUUCUGAAUAGUGAACCGUUUGGUCAGGUACUUCUGAUUGAC